ACUCCUACGGGAGGCAGCAGUGGGGAAUAUUGCACAAUGGGGGAAACCCUGAUGCAGCCAUGCCGCGUGUGUGAAGAAGGCCUUGGGUUGUAAAGCACUUUCAGUAGGGAGGAAGGUAGUGUAGUUAACACCUGCACUAUUUGUACGUUACCUACAGAAGAAGCACCGGCUAACUCCGUGCCAGCAGCCGCGGUAAUACGGAGGGUGCGAGCGUUAAUCGGAAUUACUGGGCGUAAAGCGCAUGCAGGCGGCCUGUUAAGUCAGAUGUGAAAGCCCGGGGCUUAACCUCGGAAUUGCAUUUGAAACUGGCAGGCUAGAGUCUUGUAGAGGGGUUAGAAUUUCAGGUGUAGCGGUG
rnacentral:rRNA from 1 species